AGUGAACGCUGGCGGCGUGCCUAAUACAUGCAAGUCGAACGGAGAGGGCACGGGUGAGUAAUGUAUAGCUAAUCUCCCUACACUAGAGGGCAACAGUUGGAAACGCCUGCUAAACUCGUUUAGUAUGAGGCUACAUUGUAUCCGCUAGUUGGUGAGGUAAUGGCUCACUAAGGAUAUGACGCAUAACUGGUCUGAGAGGAUGAACAGUCACACUGGAACUGAGACACGGUCCAGACUCCUACGGGAGGCAGCAGUAGGGAAUCUUCGGCAAUGGACGAAAGUCUGACCGAGCAACGCCGCGUGAGUGAAGAAGGUUUUCGGAUCGUAAAACUCUGUUGUUAGAGAAGCGGUAUCUAACCAGAAAGCCACGGCUAACUACGUGCCAGCAGCCGCGGUAAUAC
rnacentral:rRNA from 1 species